AAAUCUAAAGGUACACUUAUUUGUGAACGGAGGAAGUACAACUAAGUACUCUUUCUUUCUUUUAUUUAUUUAUUUAUAAGGUGUUCUACCUUUGUCUUACCUCAUUUUUUUUUAUUUUGAUCACAUCUAUAAAAAUCUAUCAACAUUUAUGACUAAAAAUAAGUUUUGUUAAAUGAGAGAGAUGCCUGGUUGGGACGCAGACAGAGCAAGGACGACACAACAAGAAAUUAACAGGACGGGCCAAAAGAAAAUGAAGUUAAUUAACACGACGUAAACUAAGCAACAACAAGCAGCUGGAGUACUAGUAUGCCAGCAGUUGUGUCCUCGAUCUCUUAAAUCUUAAUAAUGGUCAGGUCUCAGGAAACUUCCGUGGCCGUCCCUUUGCCUGUUCCCUGUGUCCUUGGAGCCCGGCUGCCCGAGCACGUGCUAGCUUAAGCUUAAUUAAGCUAGCUGGGGUCGGAGCUAGCCAUGAUUAGCGCUUUGCUGGCAGUUAAAUUAACUAACAACCUGAUUGAUUAGUGGCAGUUAAUUUAGCCCUCAGGACGGUGGCAAAAGCUCCUGGUGGUCUCCGCAUGGCAUGUGGAUUCGAAUGGCUCCACGAGGUUCGUUACAACGGCUACAGACAUU
rnacentral:lncRNA from 1 species